UUCAGUUGCGCAUUGUAUUUUGAAGAAGUAAUUGAACGCUAAAAAGAUUUUCAAAUCGAAGCAAACUAGCGGAUUCUACUUUCCAGACCAGAGAGAUAUGUACUUUGAAAGGAAGAGGGGGUUUCCCUCUAGAUACCAUGGAAGUAAAACGAAGAAAGCAAUAAGCAUCUUAAUAACAGUGGUCUGUGUCUGCUGGCAAAUAAAUGGAGCGACCGGAACAACGAUUGCAGCCCCAAUCACAACAAGCCCACCAACAACAACUACGUCCCCAACUACAACAAGUGCUCCAACAACAACUGCAGCCCC